rnacentral:rRNA from 1 species
CGGACGGGUGAGUAACGUGUGGGCAACCUGCCCUGCACUGGGGAAUAAUCAUUGGAAACGAUGACUAAUACCGCAUACGGUUCCUGGGGGGCAUCUUCCGGGAAAGAAAGGAUUUAUUCGGUGCAGGAUGGGCCCGCAUCUGAUUAGCUAGUUGGUGAGAUAACAGCCCACCAAGGCGACGAUCAGUAGCCGACCUGAGAGGGCGGACGGCCACACUGGGACUGAGACACGGCCCAGACUCCUACGGGAGGCAGCAG